rnacentral:snoRNA from 1 species
GCACCCCCGUUCCCUUUCCCGUCAUAUUCUCCACACUUGUCUGGUGGCCCCAAGGGCGAGAGAGUGGUGCUAAAGUUGGCCGUACAGCGAUGGAGUGUGAUGUAGAUCUGGUGGGCUAGAUCCCAACAGGG